CUGCAGAUUGGUGCAACCACCAUGGAAAGCAGUAUGGAGAUUCCUUAGAAAACUGGGAAUGGAACCACCAUUUGACCCAGCUAUCUCUCUCCUCAGUCUAUACCCAAAGGACUCAAAAAGAGCCCACUACGGGGACACAGCCACCUCCAUGUUUACAUGUUUAUAGCUGCUCAACUCACAAUAUCCAAGCUGUGGAAACAACUAGGUGUCCUUCAAUGGAUAAAUGGAUAAAGAUAACAUACCAGUGGGAUAUUACUCAGCAUUAAAAGAGAACAAAAUAUGACAUUUGCAGGUAAAUGGAUGGAGUUGGAGAAUAUCAUGCUAAGUGAAAUAAGCCAAUCCCAAAAAACCAAAGGCCAAAUGUUCUCUCUGAUUUAUGAUGCUAACCCACAACAAGGGAGGGUGGGGAGGGGAGAUUAGAAGUCUAUUGGAUUAGACAAAGGGGAACAAAGGGAAGCGAGGGGGGAAUUAGAUGGACAGUAGAAUUAACUGGACGUAACUUUCCUACCCUUGUAUCUGUAUACAUGACCAGGUAACUCCACAUCAUGUACGACCACAAGGGUGGGAAGCUAAACAGACUAAGUUAUACUCUGUGUAUGUGUAUUCUACCAAAUACACUCUACCAUCACGUGUAACUAAAAAUAAAGAUUAAAGAAAAGACAGACUGAAAUCAGCAAAGGAAAAAGGAGCAAAGUGAAGUUCAGAAAAAACUAGGUACAAGCUUCCAGCGGCUCUCUCCUGGUGGAGUCUCAAGGGAUUGCCUCAUUCUUCCAGGAAAUGAUGUAUGACAACACGUGUGACGGCGUCUACACACAGAAGUUCCCUGAGCCCUGGCCCGCAGAGUUUUACGGGGGACGGUGAAAGCAGUCAUACAGUGCUUAUGACUGACAGCUAUGCUGUCUCCAUACCUCACCCCAAACCCACCUUGUCAGGGACUAGAAGGAAAUUCUCCUUCAAAGAUUAGCCUGACAGCCCCCUGGGAGACAUCCUGCCUGGGAGGCACCCUGCAGCCACCUAUCUCCCUGGAACAUCCUGCGGUUAUCCGGAUCAUCAGACAUCUUGCACCUGGCAGUUUUACCACCCACAUCCAGCAAUUGUUGAUUAGAGAGCUUCCCCAUCCCCAGCAUAUAAAUACCCCUGUGUGAAAAAUAAAAGUUGGCAGCUUGAUCAGAAUUUUUGUCUUGCUGUCACCUUUCGUGUCUCUUGUCCCUUCAUUCCUCCCCAUCUAGGUUCGCUGCCCACGUUGAUGUGUCCUGCCGGACGGGACACCACCUGAGCAAAACCAGGCGUUCAUCAUAGAUCCCAUUAUUAGGACAAACUUACCUUAUCAAACCUGAACAGUGGGGUGCAAAGCUUCAGGCAUACAGGACCCUGUUAGCAGACCAACUGUUCCAAGGGACGACCCUGAAGACCUUCCUUUGGAAUGUGAACAGCCCAGCGGAGCCAUCCCUGUCGGCACAGUCACUGUGAUCUCACUGUGCUUACUUAACACCUGUCAAUGUUUAGCAAACUUUUACACCUUAUUUAUC
rnacentral:lncRNA from 1 species